rnacentral:rRNA from 1 species
UGGGGAAUAUUGCACAAUGGAGGGAACUCUGAUGCAGCAACGCCGCGUGCGGGAUGACGGCCUUCGGGUUGUAAACCGCUUUCAGCCAUGACGAAGCUUUUGUGACGGUAGUGGUAGAAGAAGCACCGGCUAACUACGUGCCAGCAGCCGCGGUGAUACGUAGGGUGCGAGCGUUGUCCGGAAUUAUUGGGCGUAAAGAGCUUGUAGGCGGUUUGUCGCGUCGAAAGUGUAAACUCAGUGCUUAACGCUGAGCCUGCUUUCGAUACGGGCUGACUAGAGGAGGGUAGGGGGGAAUGGAAUUCCCGGUGGAGCGGUGGAAUGCGCAGAUAUCGGGAGGAACACCAGUGGCGAAGGCGGUUCUCUGGACCUUUCCUGACGCUGAGAAGCGAAAGCGUGGGUAGCAAACAGG